UCCGGAUCCCGUCCCCUCUCCGCGUCCAGACCUCGAUUAAUUUCGUCAUGCGCAUGGUCCUGCCCCGUACGUGCAGGUAAGCGGAAGCAGAUCAGGGACGGCCUGUCCCCGCUCGACGACCACGCAAAAGGGCUCGUCCACUCCGGCCUCGACCAGGAGGAGCUCUUCCGCCCACCAAAUUAAAGGUCACUUUAUCCUUUAUAUGGAGCUCAUGACUACAGCCAUCAAAUGUCUCAGUCUGCUCCUCAAGCGGAACCUUAUGGUGACAAUCUUCCACACAUCGAUCCCUGGGGCCUACCGAAGCUGAGAAGAAAGAGAUGGCGCCACGGUGGCUCUUGGCGACUUCUGGUGACAUUGGCCGGCUUGGAGGCUUGAUGGGAGAGCUGCAGGUCUAGCUGCUCUGUCCCAAGUUUCACCUCGGUGAGCUCGACUCAUAAAGAUCGAUGGGUUUAAGCUGGAUAGACGGUGGUGGUUAUUGUUGCAAGAAAUAGAAAAGAAGACCUUAUCAGUGCACCCCAUGCCCAUGAUUAUUCAUUGCUGCUGCUUCACCACACACCCAAGAGGAGCAGGUUCGGGAGAAAGAAAGGGACCCAAAAUAGAAACAAGAAAGGGAAAAGAGAAGAGAUGGGGAUUCUGCGAAACUUCCUCGAGCUCGCCAUCAAUUCAUGUCUCGUGCUGCCAUGGUAACCUUAUAGUUAGUCCUUUGAUUACAGAUUGGUGGAUGUGUUGGUAGAAUUUACCCGGUUGGUUUAGCUUUACGACAGUAUAUUGUUUACCCGAUUCCGGCGAAUGGUUUGGAAAGGGGAGCAAAAACAGUACAGUUGAACAUGCAGUUUUCUGUAUAGUGAGUUAUCAUCUUUUUUUAUAUUAAAUCAAAUACGUUUUCAACAUAACAAUCGAAGAAGUUGUCUUGUAGGUACCAAAACUUAUAUUGGUUUACAGAUUUAGUUUUCUCUAUUAAUUUGUACUAAAUGACUUAAUAGUUUGCCCAGUGUGGACAUAUUUGCCAUCAAAGCUGAGAUUUGGUGCUUAUGUGUGCUUUUUGAAACAUGUGCUUUUGAAGUUCUAGGCUUCCAGCUGCAACUUUCAGAGUACACCUGGGUAAAUCAUUAACGAUACAUCACUCAUUUUGCAUCAGCUUUCACAAAAAAUAAACUUAUUUGGAUUCUUAGAAACAUGAUACUGUUUUCUGAAGUGUAAGCCACCACCAGGUUUCUUUAUGUCUCGCUUCAGAGUUCGGGCUUGAAGGUUUAGCUAGUGACUGCAAUCUGGUUAUAUACUCUCUUAUGACGAGUUAACGUCAGUUUUGAAGGUCAAACUGUGUUGAUCUGAAGCUUUCUGGAUGUAUACAUAUUAGCUUGAGCACGCUGAUUUUGAGGAGUAGCCUGCUUUUGCUAUGUUUGUAGUCUUCUAGUGAGAAUUGACUUGAGCUUCUCUCGUGUGCUUUUUUGUGUCUAGGAGUGCUAUUCUGUACAUCCAGAAUUGUCAUUGAUAUAUAGUUUCUUUGCAAAUACCUUAUGUGUUGGAUUUCUCUUGAGGAUCUUCUCCUAUGCUUUUUAAAAAAAAAAUUAUUUGUUGUUCAUUCAUCUGGGAGUUAUCUUAGGUAUUGAUGAGGAUGGGUUGGAAUGUGGGAUCAUGGAACAUUAUUUUCCAUUGGUUUUGACUUUUUUCUCAUUGAUGAAAAGGUUUAUUACACAAAUGCAUGGUCUUGUUGCUGUCGUCUUAGAGCUUAUACUCAUGUUCCUGAUUCUUGUAUAUACCCAAUUUGGGUCUUUCACUGUUAAUUAUAUGAUAGUAUUGAUCUGGCAUUUUAGUUGAUAAACAUGUAAUUGCCACCACUUAUGCUUAUUAGGACAGCAGCUAGAUUUAGUGGUUUUGGUUAAAAUAUUUACUUGCUCUGCUUUAGUGGUUAUGGCUAAAUAUUGACUUGCUCUGUUUGAGUGACGAAAAAGUUCGGACAAACUCCGUUUUGUUUUUAUAAUCUGCUUGGUGUUACUUGGGAGGGAAACGGGAAGGAAGCCGUUGAGCACCUUACCAAGGCGAUCCUAGUGAACCUCAACAACCAUGUAUGGUACAAAGAGGUAUGAUAUGAAGGCAAUUUACACAGCGUUUCUUAAUCCCGUUGUACAUAGGGAGCAUCCUCGUGUUGGCUUUGAAUCCACUCCAAAGGCCAAAGCACGUUGAUGUUGGAUGAAUUGACACGUCGUCCUGGUUAUUAGAGGUCCUGGCCGGUUAUGUGGGUAUGAAUACCACUGGUUGGUAUUGUGUGGCCCUUUUUGAUUGAUAACUAUAUAUUUGAUCCUAGCACUCCAUGGUUUAAUUGUUUUCCUUGUCUACUACAUCUAGAGAAGUAUCAUGCCUAGAGGAAGAUGAGUUUUUUUCUCUCCAUUUAGAAAAUGAACCAUUCAUGUUAUUAUUUACAAUUUCGAGUCCAUAGUUCAGAUCGUGGUUUAGGAAGAAAAGGGCACAUGUUUAUCAUCAUCAGUGCACAUUCUUUUACCCUGUUAUACAUUACCAUGUUCCAACUCACUUAAAGUACUUGUAACCACUGCUUCGUAGGUCAGUCACAAUAGCAGCAAUGCUUGCAGAGCUUACUGACUUGAAAAUGUCGCUACUCUUUGUAUGUGGAGCUGUCCCCCGAGGAGCUGGAUGCAGAGUGAAUGAACUUCUCGAUCUCGACAUGUGGAAGAAGGCAGUAGUUGAUAGAGGAUAUGUACAAUGUCACCCAUGAUCCUCGCAGAGGAUCCAUCCAUGGUGGCAUGAUCAGGGAGCUUUUUAUAUCCUUCAAAAGAUCAACUGGCGAAAAUCCUCAGCGCAUAUUGUUCUAUAGAUGGUGUGAGUGAAGCUUUGAAGGCCAGUUCUCUACCGAUGUGCGUAGCAUAUGUGCUAUCCCUUGUGACUUCCUUUUUUUGUAAUUGCUUCACAGACCUGGAGUUGUAAUAGUGUCACAUCUGUCUUUGUUGCUUAUUUACGUUUGGACUUGUGAUCUGAGUUGGAUGAUGUGGGGUUUUGGAUGUCAAUCUGUGCUGUUGUGAUACAUAUGAAAUUUGGACUGUUGAUUAUUUCA